rnacentral:rRNA from 1 species
CCUACGGGUGGCAGCAGUGGGGAAUAUUGCACAAUGGGGGAAACCCUGAUGCAGCGACGCCGCGUGAGCGAUGAAGUAUUUCGGUAUGUAAAGCUCUAUCAGCAGGGAAGAAAAUGUCGGUGACUGACUAUGAAGCCCCGGCUAACUACGUGCCAGCAGCCGCGGUAAUACGUAGGUGGCAAGCGGUCUCCGGAUUUACUGGGUGUAAAGGGAGCGUAGACGGCUGUGCAAGCCAGAUGUGAAAGCCCGGGGCUCAACCCGGGGACUGCAUUUGGAACUGGGGGGCUGGAGUGUCGGAGAGGCAGGCGGAAUUCCUAGUGUAGCGGUGAAAUGCGUAGAUAUUAGGAGGAACACCAGUGGCGAAGGCGGCCUGCUGGACGAUGACUGACGUUGAGGCUCGAAAGCGUGGGGAGCAAACAGGAUUAGAUACCCGUGUAGUC